AGCAGAUUUGCAGGAAGCACAUUUGGGUGAUUUCGAUAUUAGAUUUGGGUAUUUAUUCUUUUUGUUUGGAAUUUGGUUGUGAGUUUGUAAGGGUUUUAAAUGCAUUGAUGGUUGAAUUUGGAGAACAGAGAUUAGAGAUAACAGAACACAUUAGGGAGAGAAGAGUGUAAAGGGUUUACCGUUUGCUGUGUUAGAUUUCUGUUGGCUCUCAAUUAAAAAGGGGUAUAAUGUCAACAAAUUUAAAAGUUCAAGGACUUAAAAUG
rnacentral:misc_RNA from 1 species